rnacentral:tRNA from 1 species
GGGCGGUUAGCUCAGUUGGUCAGAGCGCUGCGUUGACAUCGCAGAGGUCAGUGGUUCAAGUCCACUAUCGCCCA